GUGAUGAAUACUCGAAACAGUGAACCUCCUAACUGAGAUACUGAAUCUGUAACUCUCAGCCGUCUUAGUCCUGCUCGCCUCAUCACUGCCGCGUGGUUACUUAAAGACGGCGUACCACGUAUUAGUUUCCUUUGUACUUGUGCGUCCGUAUCAAUACCGUGUGCUGUAAACUGAACGAACUGAGAUACUCAUUCCGUAAGUCUCAGUUUUGCUCGCCUCUCCAUUACUUCGUGGUGACGUAAAGGUGACGGCCCGUGUGUUAGUUUCCUCGGUAAUUGUGCCUCCGUAACAUUGCUGUGUGCCGUGGUCGUGAGAACUGCGGGGCGGCGGUGCAAACUGUGCCGUGGAGAGUCGCUGGGUGUUGGAAUCGCGUCCCAGUCUCCGUAAAGGCGUUAUAUUCCCUCCCUGCUCUGACCGAGUGCAAGUCCUGGAAAGACACCGAGACUGAGAGAGGCUGAGUGUGUUCCGCCGCCCUUGAGAGAGACAGAAGAUAAUUGCACUGGAAGAAUGGGCUGGAACGCUGGAACGAGGCAAAAGAAGAACAAGUGAAGGGCGUUGCAAACCGUGAGAAAGACCAUGCGAGGACUGACUAUGAUAGCCGAGAGGGUACAGGAGUGAAACCCAAUCACGGCGAGUAUAAUGGAAACAACUGGAAACAUAAGUCUUGUUUCUUUUUCGUAUCAUUCAAUUCUACACUGCAGUUUUGUAUUGGAUGUUGCU